rnacentral:rRNA from 1 species
UGGGGAAUUUUGGACAAUGGGCGAAAGCCUGAUCCAGCAAUGCCGCGUGUGUGAAGAAGGCCUUCGGGUUGUAAAGCACUUUUGUCCGGAAAGAAAUGGCUCUGGUUAAUACCUGGGGUCGAUGACGGUACCGGAAGAAUAAGGACCGGCUAACUACGUGCCAGCAGCCGCGGUAAUACGUAGGGUCCAAGCGUUAAUCGGAAUUACUGGGCGUAAAGCGUGCGCAGGCGGUUGUGCAAGACCGAUGUGAAAUCCCCAAGCUUAACUUGGGAAUUGCAUUGGUGACUGCACGGCUAGAGUGUGUCAGAGGGGGGUAGAAUUCCACGUGUAGCAGUGAAAUGCGUAGAGAUGUGGAGGAAUACCGAUGGCGAAGGCAGCCCCCUGGGAUAACACUGACGCUCAUGCACGAAAGCGUGGGGAGCAAACAGGAUUAGAUACCCUGGUAGUCCACGCCCUAAACGAUGUCAACUAGUUAUUGGGGAUUCAUUUCCUUAGUAACGUAGCUAACGCGUGAAGUUGACCGCCUGGGGAGUACGGUCGCAAGAUU